GACGAACGCUGGCGGCGUGCUUAACACAUGCAAGUCGAACGGAAAGGCCUGCUUUCCCUUGUGGAUUGCGGGUACUCGAGUGGCGAACGGGUGAGUAACACGUGAGUGAUCUGCCCCCAACUUGGGUAUAAGCCUGGGAAACUGGGUCUAAUUCCCGAUAGGACUGCAGGGUGGUGCCUGUGGUGGAAAACGAUUUUCUAGUGGUUGGGGAUGAGCUCGCGGCCUAUCAGCUUGUUGGUGGGGUAAUGGCCUACCAAGGCGGCGACGGGUAGCCGGCCUGAGAGGGUGGACGGCCACAUUGGGACUGAGAUACGGCCCAGACUCCUACGGGAGGCAGCAGUGGGGAAUAUUACACAAUGGGCGGAAGCCUGAUGCAGCGACGCCGCGUGGGGGAUGACGGCCUUCGGGUUGUAAACUCCUUUCGACCGCGAGGAAGCCACCUGGCUGGAAGGGUGGUGACGGUAGUGGUAGAAGAAGCACCGGCUAACUACGUG
rnacentral:rRNA from 1 species